rnacentral:lncRNA from 1 species
AUUAUUAUGACCUUUAAUUCUUAACUAACCAUUUGUGUGGACAAAUAUGAGAUUAAGUAUCUAAUGUGCCAUAACUAUACUGGAAUGUGGACAUUAUGUCAAAAUACCAUAUAAAUUUGAGGAGAUCUAAAAUCUAUAAAUUAACAUGAUAUAAAAAAAGGGGUAAAGAAGAAAAAUACAAACAAAUAAAAUAAGCUUUCAAACCCACUUGAGAGAGUAAUUAAUUCAAUAAUUUGAAUCAUUGAGCUUCACAUUUCGCCUUAGCUUAGAAAAUUAACAACUCAUAUGAUAUAUACGAAACACUUAUUUUAUUUAACAAACUUCUCAAAUAUAUUAUAAGAAAACUAACUACAUAAAAGAAGAAAUCAUUUUAAGCCGCAAUCUUCAACUCCUUUCUCAUCUUCUCUCUGUGUCCCUCAUUUUUCUUCUUCUCGCCUUUUUUAGCCAACAAACAUCUCCACCUUCUUUUAUUUUAUUAUUAUUUUUUAUUACUUAUCUAUUUACAUAGAAAUGAGUGACAGUCAAGUGGCAAAGUGGCACUUGACUAUCACAGUAAUACAUGGCUUGCUUCCCUAUUUAUUUAUUUAUUACAUUUCCUCAAUAAUGCAUUCCAAAUGGCCUCGAUAAUUUAUCUUCUUUGUUUCCCGCUUUUGGUUCUAAUUCCCUAUAUAUUCCUGACAUAUUUCCAAUAUAAAAAUUAACAUACUACAAAUUAAUUUAAAAUAAAAAUUUAUUUGGAGAGCAUUAAGAUAAUUUAUAAGUUAUGAGCUCAUUAAUCAAUACUGCAAAUGAAAAAUUGAUAAUUUUAACCUUAUUAAAUGUAUACUUUUUAGUGUCAAUUACUGGUGACUUCUUUAGGUUUCAUAUAGUGAAUGAUUGGGAUGACAUUGACAUUGAUACAGAGGUAGUUAAUCCAUCAUUAUCCCAAUUUUUCAAUGAUUGUCCCUCGCAACCAUUUUCAAAGGAUGCUAUCUCUAAAGAAUCUCCAAUAAAAACAGUCAUGCGGCAUACACAAGACUUUUCAUCACAAGUUGACCAACUAGAAUCUUUUAUAAGAAAGGCAAAGCAGCCAUUAUCUUUAAGGAAUACAAUCAAAGGUUCACAAAAAGAAGCUAACAAAAAAGAAGUCUACAUUUGUCAAAUAAGGGCUUCUGAGAGACAAGCAAGUGAAAAGCAAUAUGCAAUUAUUUUAAAGAUGGUUUAAAAUAAGAAAGCAAAUAAAACAAGAAAGAGAAAUGUUGCAGAUUUAGAGCAUGUAAUGAGGAGGCCCAAGACAACGAAGAAGAGGAAGUCAAGCAUGAAUAUAGAUGAUGGUGCAAGUUCAUCAUCACAAAUUGUUUGUCAUGAUAAUGAGUUAUCAAAAGCAAAGGAUGAUUUAUAUGCAUUUUCUAAAUCAGAAGAUGAUAUUGAUGAUGGAGAAUCUAGAGAACAAGAAACUUAAUAUCAUUGGGAUGAGCAUAAUGCAAAUGAUGACUUAUUAGAUGGAUAUGAAAGUGGCAAUGGAGAUUAUGGGCUAAUGUCAGAAUUAGAAAAAGAGCAUCCUUUUAUUAAAAUGUCCAUUUGUUGGGUCGUCAAAUGCUUGUAGAUGGAAUAGAACCUGUUGAAUUCAAAGUUGGACAAGUGUUAAAAUAUUUUCAAUCUUUUGCGUGGGCUCUAAAGGAUUUCUGUAUACAACAAAAUUUCAAAGGAAAAAGAACUAAGUUUAAGAGAAGAAGAGUUGUAUGUAUAUAUUAUAUAGACAGGCGCCUCUUCAAAGAACAUGUACUACUUUGGAGAUUUGGACAAUGUUUUUAGAUCACAACCUUACACAGUAUAUAUACUUGUGAGGAUCUUGUCAAAAAUCCAAAGCUUACUAUUGGUUAGAUUGUAAGGAAGAAUAAAGUGACAGAUGAUCCAAAGACUACUGUAGGUAGUCUCAUUGACGAUCUUAAGACAAUGUAUGAAGUAGAGGUAGAUCUCUAGGAAGUUUACAGAGCAAAAAAAAGAUAUUUAAGUCAGUUACUGCUGGAGAUCAUGUUAAAAUCUUUAGACAACUUUGAAAUUUUACUCACAUCAUUAAAAAAACAUAUGCUAAAGGCUUUAACAUUGCUUAAAGUAACAAAAAAAAACCUACAGAUAAAUGCAAAUUCCAAAGGUUCAUGGUGAGCUUUAUAUGUCUUAGAUAUGGCUUCAAGGAAGGGUGUAGGCCAUUUAUUAGGCUGGAUGGUUGUCAUUUAAACAACAAAAUCGGCUUUGAACAGUUAAGAAUAUAUGUCGUUAAAGGAAUGUAACGGCAUAAAUUGACAUGCUUUUGAUCCACAAGCUGUUAAAAAUCACAUACUUUUUACGGCAUUAAUAUGAUUUUGUUAUUUAUGCCGUUGAAAAAAUUAUAAAGCUAAAAAUGUUUGCCAUCAUAGAUAAAUUUAAUAGCUUUUACCACUUUUCUAUUUUAACCAAAGACGAGCUAUUGCAUUUGCCAAUAAAUUAUGAGUUGAUAGCUAGCUUUAACAAAUGUUAUGCAAAUGAAUAUUCUGGUGAACAAUUUCAGUCAAAUGACAAUCAAUAAAAUUAAAAAAUCAAACAAUUCCAACUUUACAUAUAUCAUAAACAAUAUCUCUUCCAUUCAUGAAAUACAAUUAUGAAUACAAGAAUUUGUACUGUCAAAUUGUCAAGUGGCAAUCCAUAAAUUUGAAACCAAUGCAUACACAACACUUAAACAAUGAAGUUGUUAUAUUUCGACAAAAUGAAAAAUGUACAACUAAAACAAAUCGAUUGAAAAUUUGAUAAAAGAAAAGAAAUUUUAACUUUUAAAAAAAAGUUCUUCAACUUCUUCCUCUUGAACUCAUGUGCCCUUAUAAGUAAAAUCCAAAUCAUUAUAUUAAAAAAAUGAUAAUAAAAUUAAACUUAGCAUUUAAAUUAUGUGUGUGUGCUAGCAAAUGAUUUCAUUAUCAAAGAAAGCAAACUGAAUAUAUUUCUUUAACACAAAUAAUCAAACAGUUGGUAUGCUACCAUAUUCUAUAUACCCAAAGUGCAAUUUAUACAUAUCUCUAGCAACAAUUCUCCUAGAAAAAUGAUCAAGUUUUGGACAUGCUUUACUUAUAGGUUUCUAAAACCCUUCUUUCUCAAUAAAACUAAAAGUCAAUUCAUCAAUGAUCAUUUCAAUGCAUGCUUUUCUAAGUUCUUUUUUGCUACAAGACAUUGCCAAAAGACUACCCCUACCAUCGAUCAUGUUAUCCUAAAAAACGAAGGGAUUUUGUUUUGAAUCAAAUUUCAUAUCAACAUAGACUGUACAUAUUAACAAGUGAUUUGAUGAAGUACGAAUCCCAAUAAGUCUAGAAUAAUACACAUACACUUUAUAUUAGUAGUCAGACUUACAUUUUGUAUCAUUCUCAAUUUUUGCGUAAUGUUCCCAUACUUUUGAAACUCUCCCUCCUCUUCUCUAGCUCAUUUGUGUAUUAGUAACACUUUGAGUUCUUGGAGGUGCAGAGAUAUUACCUCCUUUAGCAUUACUAGAUGAAUUUGCUUGCAUCUGUAAGGAAAAAUUUUAAGAUGUAAGGAAAAGUUUUAAGACAUAUGAAAAUUGUCAUUAUGUUAUUAAAAUUAACAAAUAAAGAUAAUAAUAAUCAUAUUUGUGCUAAUUUGAUUGAGCUUGACACCUUAACAACCAAAAAUUGACCAAUUUGUUUCAUCAAAAAAUAUUAUAGAACAUUGAAUAAUUGUAUCCAAAUCGAUUGGGCUUGACCUGUUAACAACCAAAAUUGAUCAAUUUGUCUCAAAACAAUAAUCGACUAGUAAAUUGAAAAGAAAUAAGUGUUGGGGAAAAAUUAGGUUUUUAAAUUUUUUAUAAAACCUUUUAAAGAUCGCUCUCAUAUAAUAUAUAAGAAUUUGUAAUCUAGAAAUCGUACCUUGAAAAUCCGAUUUGGCUUUGUCCGUUGAAGUGAUUUAGGCUCCUAAAUCACGAUCCACCACCACCACUCCUGUUAGAUCACGAUCUGUCACCACCACGCUUGUUAGAUCACGAACUGUCACCAAUGAUCUUCCAGGUUAUGACUCAGGUUCGAUCUGCACUUGACGUGUGGGUGCCUUUAUCACUACCAAAGCAACUAGCACAAGAAAAUUUUUCUCUCAACAAUAGAGAGAAAAAUCUUAUUCCCCAAUCUGUAUAAAGUGGCUGCUCACUUUUCUUUAGAGAAAAUAAGCCUUUUAUUAUCACCCUUUAGUGAAAACCCUAGGCUCCAAAUAAUCCAAAAACAAAACCCACGUUAUUUUCUUUUUCAAUAGGGAACCCACCUUGUAAAAUAACAUAAGGCCCCUUACACAAAAGCUAAUUAAAUGGAGCCUCCCACUAAAUGAUAUAUUUAGGCUUUUGACCCAAAUAGCUAGUUAUCUUACUUAUUAGUCCAGUAGUGGUGCAGUCAAUUAAAUGAGAUAACCCUGGGAUCAUUUGGGAACAUACAAUAGUGGCUACAAUAAUUAGGCCUGUAAUUAAACUAGCCUAAUUAUUUAAUUCCAAAUCUACUCCACUAAAAGAUUGGAACUGACUUCCAUAAUUGUAUGCUCGAAUAAUAAUUCAUCCCAAGCCACAUUGAUUUCUUUACUGCACAAUCCUUUGUACCACAUCGUUAAUUAAAUUGAUAUCUCAACUGUCCAAUCAAUUUAAUAACAUCUUAUUCCUUGAUCCUUACUGGUUUUCUCUAAUGAUCAUUUUCAACAUACCAAAUAUGUUGACACACUCUGGCCAGAGAAUUCUAUGAUCAAGUACCGAAAACCUAUCAAGAGAUGUGUUGUACAAAUUCUAUAUUUUUAAUAUAUAACUCCAAUACUCAUAAUUGCUCCCACCAAAAUACCGGGUAAUCUUGACCACAAGGAUGUGUCGUGCCCAUUGGUAACUCAAAUGAAAUAACAAUUAUAAUCAUGAAAUCAUAAUUAACUCAAGAUUAAGAUUACAGUAAAAUCAAUGCCUAUGAGAUUUAAUAAGUCUGACAGUUAUUACAAAGUUAAUUAAAUUUCAUAUGUGAUCCUGUUCAAUGUAGUCGUACUACAUCAAUAAAUUCAUACAUGAUUAAGACAAAUCAUUCAAUGAAUUUAUUACAGUCUAUACCUAAAUAAUGUGCCCAACUUUAUUUAUCAACUGCGAACUAAAUUUAUUUAAUCAUAAGAUAACUUGUAUUUAUAUCUUCUGUGAAUCCACAUGGUGAUCACAUAAAUACAUAUAAUAUGAUUAAAUGGACUUUAAUACAAAUAUUAAUGCAAUUAAGAUAUUUGAAUAAAAUACCUCAUUAAUUUUAUUAAUCAGAAAAAAUAUUUAUUACAAUUAAAUAAACACAUGUGCUUUUAAAGAGUAUAUUUUCCCAACAAUAAGAACCUAUGUGCUUAUGUUGCCGUUCAGAAAGGCUUGUGAGUUGUGAUGUUGUGUUCUAUUUUGUGUGCGAGCAACUGUAUUUUGAGCUAGAGGAAUUUGCAUCUCGGGUUCUAUAAAUGAGAAAGCUACAGCUGUUCUGAGAGACUUUUCUUAUUGUUUUAUAUUUUAUAUUUUUAUUUUUUCAUAAAUAUCAAAAUUUAUAUUAUAAUUGUAAUUACGUGUGUUUGUGUGUAGUCCUUCUCGAAUGAAAACAUCCUUACUUUAAUAAUAAUAAUAAUAAUAAUUAUUAUUAUUAUUAUUAUUAUUAUUAUUAUUAUUAUUAUUAUUAUUAUUAUUAUUAUUAUUAUUAUUAUUAUUACAAGUUGGUAAGUUGGGUUAGGUUAAAAACAUUUCAAUCCAACGUAAUCCCAAACAGUACGGAUUGGGAAUUUUACAACUAAUUCCAACCCAUAUAUUUUACCAGCCUAGCCCUAAAGUGCAAACAAUCAAAUGGGUUAGAUCAGUCAGUGCCUACCCUUAGUUGGUGCUCAUCUCUUUUGAAGAUGAAUAUGAGGGUGAUGCUUAUUCACUAAAGGCUUAAAUCAACUCUAGAAAAAGCAAAUCUAAAGGGAGCAUCUAGUUCCAUGUCUGAUGAAAAGAGGACAAAGUCUUAGUAGAGCUCAUAACACCUUUUAAUCUUGAGUAUUAGUGAUUCAAUCUUGAGGGAAAUAUCUAAUGAGAAGACAUAUUUGGAUAUUUAGAACAAGGUAGAGACUUUAUUUAUGAAGAAGUCACUUGCUCACAGACUGUUUCUUGAAGAAAAUGUUGUAUACUUUCUAUAUGAGAGAUGGUGUGUCAAUUUAAGAACACAUUGAUGACAUAUUUAAUAAGAUCUUUUUUUAUCUUGAAGGAGUUAUGUCAUUCCCUAAACCCAAAAAGGUUUUAGGUGAUUUUUCUAUCAAUCAAUAUCUUAAAAGUGAAAAAAACAUGUUGGUAAUAAGACCACUUUAACAUUGUGAAAUUGUUAAAAUAAGAGUUCAACAAAUAACUCCUAAAAAUAAAAUGCAUAUUACAAUCAAUAGGUCCCAAUAAGUUUCGUACUCUAAUUACACAUUUCAAAAAGUCUUCUAAGACUAAGAGAACCAAUGAAUAUGAUCAGCUUUGUCAAAUCCAUCACACACUAUAUCCAUCAAUCACCUGGAAAUUACAAUAAACUAUAGCGAGUAUAACAAUUCAACAAGCAAGCUAGUUUUUCAUAUAACAAACUAAAUACAUAAUAUAUAUGAUGCAUGUGCAUGAAAUAACAUGAGUACAAGGUACUUUGGUUGAUAAAUUUCAUAUGUCAUAAAUUACCAACAAAUUCUAGGAAUAUCCACAUAUUGUUACCAUUUAGUAGGACUUUACAUAUUGGACAUCAUAUAAUCAGCCUAAAUCACAUGUCGACAACUUACCAUACAUAUCACAUAUACCAAUAUCGAAGGAAAGGCCACAUAUAUCAAAAGGCUCCACAUAAGCAUAUAAGUGCCUAUUAAGCAUGUAAAAACUCAUCACAUUGUGUUAUAUGUGGCACUUUGCAGCAUAUUAGCCCUCAAGAUGUGGCCCUCAAUGCAAAUUUUUAUAAAACUUAAUAUAAUAACAAAUUUCAUAAAUAAAUCAUAAUUUGCAAAUAAAAUUAAUGAACGUAAUUCUUUUUAUAUAAGGACUUGUAAGAACACCGUAUGUUCAUGCUUAUGCCAAAUACAUAUAUCAAGGAGAUUGUCAAAUAAACUUUCUACUAUCAUCCACCAUGAACACAUCAGAAUAGUCUUUCCAAAAUCCACAUAAAUAUAUAUAUGCUAAUUGUGAUCCCAGUUUAAAGCCUAGUUUAAUUAUCUCUCGAUGAUCACAUUGAUAAGUUUAAUGUUGAUCAUAAUCUAACCACUAAAACCUAACAUUAAAAAUUGAGCUUCAUGAACAUCAUACUUAUAUAAAAAGGUAGUAAUAACUAUCCCCCUCAAGAAAUUAUUUCCUAUAACUUCAUGAAUCAAAAGGUUUCAUUCUCACGGCACAAAAACAAAAAUGACUAGUCCUCAAUCUCUGAUUUUUAUAAAAUAAAAUGCUAGUUCAAAAAUGAUAAAAUUUUGUAGGACUAAAAUAGAAACAUUAAUAUACAGGUUGUAAAAAUUUCAAAGCCAAACUGAUUUAGAAUCUACUGCAAAUAAAUCUUAUUUCAAAACUAUUAUGUCUUGGAAUCCCAAAACCAAAAUUAAGUAUCCUUCAACAAUCAAUUCACAACAAUUAAAAUUCGAGGAAUUAGGACCCUAGUUUUAGAUAUGAUAAGCUAGACAUAUAGGAGAGUAGAUCUAGAAAGUUUCAUAAAUUGUUUUAGAAGUUUUGGUCUGUCUAAACAUUUUGUUUUCCAUCUUACAACACUAUAAAAAUGUCAAUUUUCUAGAAUCACAUGGCAUCAUUUAAAAAUUCUUUAAAAUAAAAUACAAGACAUUUUUUAAUGAAACAAAAUUAUAUUUGACCCCCUAGAUGUCUAGUUUCAGAUAUAAACAAAUUUUCUUAACUCAAUAUGUAAAAUUUUAAAUAAUUUUCAGAGUGAGUUGUAAUCAUAAAAAUCUAGCACAAUAUUUCCUUAAUCCUCAUGGUUUUUAUUUAAUCAAUAGUUCCCUAACAUAUAAUACCCAUGAAAAUCUUGCAGUGACCUCAAGAAUAAUAACCCCCCAAAACUUAGUCGUAGAGAUAAAACCCAAUAAUUCUAAAAUUAUACAGGAAAUAGAGUACUUAAAAAUAUGCAUAACUUAAUCUCCUCCACAAUUUCCUAACAUUUUUUGCAUUUAAAUGAUAAAAAACAAGAAAAGCUUUAACCAUUUUCUUUCAAAUCUCAAAGUUACAACUAAGUGAAGAAGAAGAAGCUAGCUCUUAUCUCUUCUCUUUAAUUAUCUAUUUGUACGUAGGGUUUUUAGUUAAUGGGUUUGGAUGAAAUGACUAAAAUGGGCUUGGGCUAAAAGUAGCCCAAUAACAAAUGAGUCCAAGUACUAAUAUAAUGUUAAUACUAAUAUUAAUAGUAAAAAAAUAACAAUGACAAUAAUAAUGAUGUAAUAAAAUAAAGGAAAAUUUUAACAACCAAUACGCAAAUAGAUCAAUAAUCACAACAACGAAAUUAAAAUAAAAUUAAUAAUUACUAACUCAGUUUUCAAGUAUUACAAGUUAAGAAUAUCAAGAUAAGAGAUAAACAUAAACCUUACUUUCUCGUUAAGUUCUUUACCAAAUUCUUAUUAGGAUUUUGUUAACACCAUGUUGUAUGAGAGAACAACUCUAAGAUUAGAGGAUGUGAAGACUUCUUUAUGUUCAAAGAAGAUUUAAAAGCAUUCAAGAGAGAUAGAUACAAGCACUAGGGAAGGUUUAACGGUAAGAUUUGAAAAGAAGAAAGAUAAGAAUAAAAGAAGAACAAGAAUUAGUUUUAAAAGGAAGAUGACUUUAAAAGAAAAUUGAAGAGAUAAAAGUGUUUCUAUUGCAAGAAACAAAGGCACUACAUCAUAGAUGGUGCUGAAAAAAGAAAGACAGCAAGGAGAAAUCUAAUAACGCUGCUACAACUCAAAUAAGUGAUUUGAUGAGGGAUAUCAUAGUGCUGAUCUACUGGCUGUAUUAGAUGAAAAGAUUAAAGGUCAAUGGGUACUUGAUUCUAGAUGUUCUUUCUACAUGAGUCAUUAUAAAAGUCUCUUUUAUGAUAAUGAGUAUAUUGAUUGUGGGAGAGUCUUGAAAGGAAACCACGAUGCAUGGGAAAUUAAUGCUAUUGGUUCCAUUAAAAUCAAAAUAUUUGAUAAAAUCACAAUGCCUUUGGAGCAUGUUAGGCAUGUGCUUAGAUUAAAAAAAGAUUUUUUUUGGCAUGCUAGAUAGCUUAGGUUAUUUCUUUAAAUCUGCACAUGGAGGUUUAAAGAUAAUGAAAGAGAUUGUCGUAGUAAUGAAAGGUUUCAAGAUAAAUGGAUUAUAUGUGUUACAAGGCUCAUUUGUGCCUAUAUUACGUAUUUUGCACAUUAAAUUUUUUGUCAGUGGAAUUAAGCUUACCAUCUUAGUUUUGGCCAUAUAAGUGUUAAAUGUAUGCAAGAAUUAAGUAAACAGGGGCUACUGUGUGGUGAUAAAAUUGACAAAUUAGAUUUCUUUGAGAAUCACUUUCAAAAGGCGCACAGGAUCAAGUAUGAUAAAAGAUUGCAUAAGUCCAAUAAUGUAUUAGCUUAUGUACAUUCUGAUCUACGGGGGCUUGUUGAAGUUCAAUCCUUGAUUGAUAAGAGAUAUUUCAUGACUUAUUCAAGGAAAGUAUGGCUUUAUAUACUCAAAGCUAAAUAUCAAGCUCUAGAAAAGUUCAAAAUAUGAAAAGUUGUAGUUAAAACUCAGUCUGGUAUAAAAGUGAAAGCAUUAAGGAUUGAUAAUGGAUUUGAAUUCUUUAAUAAAAAGUUUAAAGUGCACUAUCAAAUUUGAGAGAUUACUCAACGCCAAACAAUCAAGUUCACUCCAAAGCAAAAUGGCUUAGUUAAGAGAAUAAAUAGGAGUCUCAUUGACAAAAUAAGGGGUUUACUAAUAAACUUUAAGCUACCAAAAAGCUUUUAUGAAAAGUUUGUUAGCAGAGAUUGUUACUUGGUCAAUGAGAGUCCUCCAUCUACAACUAAAGUCAAAACACUAGAGGAGAUAUGGACAAGUGUGCCUGCAAAUUACAAACAUCUCAAGAUAUUCAAAUUUCCUGCAUAUGUCUGUGUUAAACACGGGAAGUUUAUUGCAAAGGCUUUAAAACAGGUGUUUGUGGACUAUCUAAAUGGAGUCAAGGGGUACAAAGUCUAGUGUGGAGUUACUCAUAGGUGUAUCAUUAGUAGAGAUAUAGUAUUUCAUGAGGAUGCAAUGAUCAAGAAACCUAAUCUUGUAACUUUUGACACAAAUCCUUCUAAUGAUAAGUCAGAUAAAGAGAAAGCAACUAUAAAAAAUUCAAAGGUUAAGGUGGACUCAUCUACUAAUAGUGGAGAUGAGGUACAAUUUGAAGAUUAUGUAAAAGGUUCUCAAUAAAUAAUUGAAAUUAAUGAAUCAAGAAAAAAAUCCUCUAAUUUAUGAGAUUAACAAUUAGCAAUGGAUAGAGCUGGAGGAGAUAUCAGGCCACCUACCAGGUAAGCUUAUGUUGGAAUGAUUGUAUAUACACUUAUGAGUGUAGAUGAUAUGGCUAUUGAAGAGCCUAAGAAUUACUGAGAAGUAUUGAAAAGUAGUGAUAACAAUAAAUGAAUUUAGAGAAUGACUAAAGAGAUAGAUUCUUUAACAAGAAACCAAACUUGGACACUUGUAACAAACUUAAGCAAUAUAAAACUAGUCAGUUACAAGUAGAUUUUCAAGAAGAAAAAAAGACUCUAGACAUUAAAGCUUCUAGGCUCAAACCAAGGUUAGUUGUCAGCAGGUUUGCAUAAAUAAACGGGUGAAUUUCAAUGAAAUUUUCUCUUCUAUGGUAAAACAAGACUCUACAAAUAUCUUGUUGGCCAGUGUAACAUUGUUUGAUUUAGAGCUUGACCAGAUGGAUCUAAAGGCUACAUUUUUUAUGGGAAGCUUGAAGGAAAGAUAUUAACAACACUGCAUGAAGUAUUUGAGGUCAAAGGAAAGAAAGAUCAUAUUUAUCUUCUCAAAAAAUAUUUUUAUGGCCAAAAGCAGUCUCCAAUGUAAUGGUAUAAGGGUUUUGAUACCUCAAAUGGCUAUUGCAAAAGCAAGUAUGAUAGUUGUGUCCACUUAAUGAGCUUAAAUUCAGGAGCAGUAUAUCUUUUGCUAUUUGUUGAUUUCAAUAAAAAUAUAGGUGAAUUGGAAAGCUUAAAGGUCUAAGAUUAGAGAAUUUGAAAUGAGGGAUCUUGGUUGUACUAAAAAAAUCCUAAGCAUAGAUAUCAUCAGAGACAGAGUUGUUAGAACUUUGUUUAUACGCCAAGAGAGAUAUAUAAAAAAGAUUCUUGAAAGGCUUUAUAUGCCAAAUUUAAAACAUGUUCAAACACUUUUAGGCUCUCAUUUCGAACUCUUCACAGAAAAAGCACUAGUAUCUCGCCAAAGAGAAGUUCUUGAUCAAUGAAUUUCCAUAUGCUCAACCAAUUUGAAGCCUCAUGUAUGCCAUGUUGUGCACACAGGCUGAUAUUGCAUAUAUUGUUAGUGUUGUGUUGGUAAUUAUUAUAAUCAAAUGUUAUCGAUGCCAAUGUGCAAGUGUACACAACAAGUAAUAAAGUAAUGAAUAUUCAAGAUUGUCUCUACAGGAUUGAUGUUACUAGAAAUGUUACAGCAAUCACAAUAGUGCAAUCUACCUUAAUCCCGAAACUAACAAAUGUAAAAGUUGGUUCUAUUAGAAUUGAUAAUUGUGACAGAAUAAAAUGAAACAAUACAGUAAUGAAAUAAAAUGUGUCGAAGAAUCAAUUGAGAACAAGGUAGUUGAAUGAUCAAACUCUCUUUAUGGGCUGACUGCUUUUUCUUAAAUUAACACCAGUUGUUACAACAAUUGUUACAGCACUGGGCAGAAUUAUUUUGCAUCCUUAGCUGUCGCGUGUUGGAAUUCUCACACCCUUAAGUAUAUUAGCAAUGACCAGUUGUUAUUCUACCUACGGCAUGGCCUUAUGAACCUUUAUUCUCUCCACCCUACAAGGUGAGUACCUACAUCUAGUUUGUCACAAAUCUUAACUUUAAGUAUAGCUCUUAAGGGAUUCAAGAUAAACUUAAUCCAGGAAACUUAAAUUAAGAUCAAGUAUUACUCUAAUAAUAUCCGCUAAGACAUGCCCUUUUGCGGCUUUAUCUUAGCAAUGACAUAGCAACUCAUAAGAACAACAAGAACCCAUUAGAUUGUUUGUCACUCAACUACAAGCAAAUUUAGUUCAUAUUCUGAAAGAGAAAAACAAACAUCAAAAUAUUGGUCAUAAAAUACAUCGGUUCAAUCAACGAGUAAGGAAAAGAACAAGUAGAGAACGAUGAAGAUUGAAUCCAAAUAACUCUACUGGAUUCUUCCUAAUGCAGAAUUGGUUCCCUUGAAUUUAGAUUGUUUUCUUCUCUUUCUCUCAAUUUUUCCAAUGUUAAUUCCUUGCUGCCGUUUUAUGUGGCGCGCGCCUUCUUUUAUAACUAAAAAACUAGGGUAACAAAAGCAUCGGCCGUGCAUGAGUUAAAUUAGGAAACUACAGAUCGUAAUUCUGCAGCUGACCCACGCUAAGUUUUCUCCCUCAAUGCUCCAGGAUUGCUACAGCAAUGGUUGCUUUAACAACGGCUAUAACACUGCACUGUUCUCGGUUGUGCUUCACUUCUUUUGUGGCCAUAUUCUUUCUUCCUCUUGCUAGUCUAAUAUCUCAGCAUCCCUUCAUGAAUUAUAAACUUCUAAAAACCUACAAUUAUGCACAUGUUUUGAGCACAAAUUAUUUUAAUUCAAGCAAAACUUAUUAAGACUCAACUAAAAUGAAUGUUUAUGCAAAAUAUAACUAAAAUAUAAUAAAAACACCUCAUUUACUCUCUAAGUGAUCUUGAUUUAAGUCUAGAAUUGCUGUAGUAACUCUCAUUUCAUAGAGUUAUCAUGUUGUCAGCAGGUUCAUGAGCAAUCUUAAAAAUGUGCAUUGGGUUGUUGUAAAAUAGAUUAUGACAUAUCUCGAAGGCACUUUUAAUCAUCGUUUAAUAUAUAGGAAAGCUAAGCUAGAUGAAUGUAAGAUUGUGGGAUAUGUGAAUUAUGGUUUUUUUGGUGAUUUGGAUGAGAGGAAGACAAUUACAAGCUACUGUUCAUGUUGAAUAAUUGCUUGGUCAAUUAGAAAGCAAACUUGUAGCCUAUUAUUGCUUUGUCAUCUACAAAAGCAAAUUUUUGUGGUAGUUAUUGAAGUUAUAAAGGAGUCAAAAUGGCUUAGUGAGUUAUUAAAUGAACUUUGGUUCAAUCAGAAGACUGUCAAAAUCUUCUAUAAUAAUCAAAGUGUCAUUCAGCUCACUAAAAAUUACAUUUAUCAUGAAAGAACCAAACAUAUCAAUGUUAAACUUCAUUUCAUCAGAGAUGAAAUAACUAAGGAAACUAUGACAAUAUCCAAAAUUCACAUGAUGUUAAUCCUACUGAUGUGCUCAAAAAAGUCAUCCCUAUUGCUAAAUUCAAGUUGUGUUAACUUAGUUGGGGUUGUGACUAAUUCUUGUUAAUUGUUUUGUGUAAUUAAGUGAAACGUUAUGUGCUUGAAGGUGUUUGAAGGCAUCUUUUAUGGUUAAAAGUUAAAUUGAAUCAGAUCUGCAAAGUGGAGAGAAUGUGAUUAUUUAUAUUCAAUUUUGGACCUAAAUGCAAUUGAGGAAGAGUUUCCGGGUCAUAGUGUAGAUCGACUUCAGUUACGAGGUCAAUUGGUAAAUACUUUGCUGAUGUGGCAAAAGUCAUUUGGUAGUUUCCAGAGAGUUUCCAAAAACACCUAUAUGAAGGGGCUAAUGCACAACACCUAGUGUUAAUGUGUGAUUUUCUUUUGUUUUUUAAACAAAUUCGUUUAUUCCUGAUUUUGUGUAACCUAUGCAACGUCCAAUGUAAAGUGAGAUCCGUAUCGAGUUAGUUUUAUUAAUAAAAGCAUGUUAGUUUUUCCUUCAAACUUUGGUAGUUUUUCCUUUAAGUUUUGGAGCUCAAUCACUAUUAUAGUUUCUUUUUCUUUCUUAUUUCUUCGAUCUUUCUAAUUCUAAUUUUUGUUUUGCUUCUGAAUUUUUUUUUUUUUUGGCUUAUGAGUUGAUAUAUUUUUUUCUUAUCAAUUAUCAUGUUCUUUGUGUUUUCUUGACUUGAUUAAUUUCUGAAAACAUAAUAAUUCUUAAGGUUAUAUAUACCUAAAGUUUCAGAGUUUAGUCUCAUCAAAUUGUAAUUAUAGUUUAUAGAAUUUCAUGGUUGUUUAUUUUAUAGGACAUUUUAUUUUAACAAUUUAAUUGACUUAAUUUCAAUAAGUUAAGUCAUUAAGUUUAUUCUUUUUUCAACUUAAUGAAAAUUUUCAAUUUUUAGGUAAUUAUGUUAUUAAGCCAAUUUGUUUUUAGCUUUUUAAUUAAUUUAAAAAGUCUUAAUGACAUUAAGAAAAAAUAUUCUCCAAAAAUAACUAAUUAAUUAAUUAAUUAUUUUCAUCAUUACCGAAAUAAAACUUACUAGUUAGCAUUACUCUUCAUUUCCAUAAAUUGUGAUAAUUGAUAAUGUAGUAGUAAAUUAUUAUUAUUAU